rnacentral:rRNA from 1 species
AUUGAACGCUGGCGGCAGGCCUAACACAUGCAAGUCGAGCGAGCGGCGGACGGGUGAGUAAUGUAUGGGGAUCUGCCCGAUGGAGGGGGAUAACUACUGGAAACGGUGGCUACUACCGCAUACUAUCGGAUGAACCCAUCUGGGAUUAGCUAGUAGGUGGGGUAAAGGCUCACCUAGGCGACGAUCUCUAGCUGGCCUGAGAGGAUGAUCAGCCACACUGGGACUGAGACACGGCCCAGACUCCUACGGGAGGCAGCAGUGGGGAAUAUUGCACAAUGGGCGAAAGCCUGAUGCAGCCAUGCCGCGUGUAUGAAGAAGGCAUUCGGGUUGUAAAGUACUGUCAGCGGGGAGGCGUUACCCGCAGAAGAAGCAACGGCUAACUCCGUGCCAGCAGCCGCGGUAAUUC